UACGUAGGUCCCGAGCGUUGUCCGGAUUUAUUGGGCGUAAAGCGAGCGCAGGUGGUUUAUUAAGUCUGGUGUAAAAGGCAGUGGCUCAACCAUUGUAUGCAUUGGAAACUGGUAGACUUGAGUGCAGGAGAGGAGAGUGAAAUUCCAUGUGUAGCGGUGAAAUGCGUAGAUAUAUGGAGGAACACCGGUGGCGAAAGCGGCUCUCUGGCCUGUAACUGACGCUGAGGCGCGAAAGCGUGGGGAGCAAACAGG
rnacentral:rRNA from 1 species